AACGUAGGAGACAAACGUUAUCCGGAGUUACUGGGCGUAAAGGGUGCGUAGGCGGAUAUUUAAGUUAGAGGUGAAAGCCCAGGGCUCAACCCUGGAAUAGCCUUUAAUACUGGAUAUCUUGAGUUCGGGAGAGGUGAGUGGAACUCCGAGUGUAGAGGUGAAAUUCGUAGAUAUUCGGAAGAACACCAGUGGCGAAGGCGACUCACUGGCCCGAUACUGACGCUGAGGCGCGAAAGCGUGGGGAGCAAACAGG
rnacentral:rRNA from 1 species